GACGAACGCUGGCGGCGUGCUUAACACAUGCAAGUCGAACGGAAAGGCCCUGCUUUUGUGGGGUGCUCGAGUGGCGAACGGGUGAGUAACACGUGAGUAACCUGCCCUUGACUUUGGGAUAACUUCAGGAAACUGGGGCUAAUACCGGAUAGGAGCUCCUGCUGCAUGGUGGGGGUUGGAAAGUUUCGGCGGUUGGGGAUGGACUCGCGGCUUAUCAGCUUGUUGGUGGGGUAGUGGCUUACCAAGGCUUUGACGGGUAGCCGGCCUGAGAGGGUGACCGGCCACAUUGGGACUGAGAUACGGCCCAGACUCCUACGGGAGGCAGCAGUGGGGAAUAUUGCACAAUGGGCGGAAGCCUGAUGCAGCAACGCCGCGUGCGGGAUGACGGCCUUCGGGUUGUAAACCGCUUUCGCCUGUGACGAAGCGUGAGUGACGGUAAUGGGUAAAGAAGCACCGGCUAACUACGUGCCGGCAGCCGCGGUGAUACGUAGGGUGCGAGCGUUGUCCGGAUUUAUUGGGCGUAAAGGGCUCGUAGGUGGUUGAUCGCGUCGGAAGUGUAAUCUUGGGGCUUAACCCUGAGCGUGCUUUCGAUACGGGUUGACUUGAGGAAGGUAGGGGAGAAUGGAAUUCCUGGUGGAGCGGUGGAAUGCGCAGAUAUCAGGAGGAACACCAGUGGCGAAGGCGGUUCUCUGGGCCUUUCCUGACGCUGAGGAGCGAAAGCGUGGGGAGCGAACAGGCUUAGAUACCCUGGUAGUCCACGCUGUAAACGGUGGGUACUAGGUGUGGGGUCCAUUCCACGGGUUCCGUGCCGUAGCUAACGCUUUAAGUACCCCGCCUGGGGAGUACGGCCGCAAGGCUAAAACUCAAAGGAAUUGACGGGGCCCCGCACAAGCGGCGGAGCAUGCGGAUUAAUUCGAUGCAACGCGUAGAACCUUACCUGGGUUUGACAUGGAUCGGGAGUGCUCAGAGAUGGGUGUGCCUCUUUUGGGGUCGGUUCACAGGUGGAGCAUGCCUGUCGUCAGCUCGUGUCGUGAGAUGUUGGGUUAAGUCCCGCAACGAGCGCAACCCUUGUUCACUGUUGCCAGCACGUUAUGGUGGGGACUCAGUGGAGACCGCCGGGGUCAACUCGGAGGAAGGUGGGGAUGACGUCAAGUCAUCAUGCCCCUUAUGUCCAGGGCUUCACGCAUGCUACAAUGGCUGGUACAGAGAGUGGCGAGCCUGUGAGGGUGAGCGAAUCUCGGAAAGCCGGUCUCAGUUCGGAUUGGGGUCUGCAACUCGACCUCAUGAAGUCGGAGUCGCUAGUAAUCGCAGAUCAGCAACGCUGCGGUGAAUACGUUCCCGGGGCU
rnacentral:rRNA from 1 species